GAUGAACGCUGGCGGCGUGCCUAAUACAUGCAAGUCGAGCGAACAGACGAGGAGCUUGCUCCUCUGACGUUAGCGGCGGACGGGUGAGUAACACGUGGAUAACCUACCUAUAAGACUGGGAUAACUUCGGGAAACCGGAGCUAAUACCGGAUAAUAUAUUGAACCGCAUGGUUCAAUAGUGAAAGACGGUUUUGCUGUCACUUAUAGAUGGAUCCGCGCCGCAUUAGCUAGUUGGUAAGGUAACGGCUUACCAAGGCGACGAUGCGUAGCCGACCUGAGAAGGGGGAGCGCCACAACGGGACCGGGAACCGGGACAAGCCCCUACGGGGAGGCAGAAGGGGGAAAUCUUCGGAAAUGGGGAAAAGUUGGAAGGGGCAACGCGGGGGGAGUAAUAAAGGUCUGAGGAUCGAAAACCUGUUUUAUGAGGGAAAAAAAAAUGGGAAAGAAAAUAUGCACGUCUUGAGGGUACCUAAUAAAAAAGCCCCGCCAAACUACGUG
rnacentral:rRNA from 1 species